UGGGGAAUAUUGGACAAUGGGCGAAAGCCUGAUCCAGCCAUGCCGCGUGUGUGAAGAAGGUCUGCGGAUUGUAAAGCACUUUAAGUUGGGAGGAAGGGCAGUAAGCGAAUACCUUGCUGUUUUGACGUUACCGACAGAAUAAGCACCGGCUAACUCUGUGCCAGCAGCCGCGGUAAUACAGAGGGUGCAAGCGUUAAUCGGAAUUACUGGGCGUAAAGCGCGCGUAGGUGGUUCGUUAAGUUGAAUGUGAAAGCCCCGGGCUCAACCUGGGAACUGCAUCCAAAACUGGCGAGCUAGAGUAGGGCAGAGGGUGGUGGAAUUUCCUGUGUAGCGGUGAAAUGCGUAGAUAUAGGAAGGAACACCAGUGGCGAAGGCGACCACCUGGGCUCAUACUGACACUGAGGUGCGAAAGCGUGGGGAGCAAACAGG
rnacentral:rRNA from 1 species